CAUCAAAUAAAACAUUUUUAAGUCGAAGGAUUAGCCCUCUUAAAAACCGAUAAACUCGAUCGGCCUUUUUUUUGUUUAACAUGGUUUACGAAGAAACAAAAUGAAAUGCAAUUUCCACAUGUAGUUUCUUCACAAUAAAGCAGCCAGCCACUUGGCGGUGAUUUCCAACGCAAGAACUGGAUGAUCUGAUCGCUGUGACAGACUCUCCAACCCAUGUGCUGCUCUGGCAGAUUGUAGGCUACACUCAACCCUCUGCCCCGAAAGUCGACAAUCGUAUCUUCACACUUGUCAGUAUUUGUAAGUAGCUGCGUAUUCACUCCAUUAUUACAAUAACAUUAUUGUAUUAUAAUUCCAGUGCUUUGCUCUGUUUACUUUUGGCCCCAUCACAGUUGUCACUUACUCGCUAUUCUAUUAUUCACUUCCUCUCCCUCCCUUCUGUCAUGUGCUUUCAUUGGUUCAACUUCCGAGCAAAGAUCAAUUGGUUAUAAAUACAUGAAAUCUUCGUUCUUUCUAAACCUAACAUAGAUAGAACGAGAGAAACAGGAGCCGGCCUUUCAUUGGCGAAGAAAAAAGAGUAAGGUUUGAGGCGCACACUUGUUUGGUCCCAUCAAAACUUACCAAAGGAGUGAUGGUGCCACGCUGUGUGCGUCUAAAACGCUUAUUCUUUUCAGUAUGAUUUGUAGAAGCGAAGGAGGAUGAGUUUAUAACUUCUGUCAAAUGAAACGGUUAUGAGGCUGAACAGGUUUUAGUUUUUGCCGAUUUCAAGUGCUCAGUCACCUGCAAAUCUGCAACAGAGAUACAGAGAUGCUUGUCGGAUAUAUUAUACUUUGAAAGAGUGUUCUGUUCGAGCUGAAUUUUAGCAUAAAGUUUGAGUGGGUUCAGUUCCAUGAACUUAGAGAAACGAUAAGGUUGUUCGGUUAAGUCCAAUGAGAAAAGUCCAGAGAAUGGAGUUAUAUUAUACUUUGAAUAUAGCGGCCUUUCCACUUU